rnacentral:ncRNA from 1 species
UUGCUUGGGAUUGUACACCUGUCAAACCCUACUGCAGGUCUCCUAAGGCCAGCUCAGGGAGGAUGGAAACCUCUCACGGAGGGGAAGCGCAAAAGCUUGCUUGAUCUUGACUUUCAGUACAAAUACAGACUGUGAAAGAGGGGCCUCAUGAUCCUUGUGACUUUUUGAGUUUUGCCCAAAACCCCAAA